GACGAACGCUGGCGGCGUGCCUAAUACAUGCAAGUCGAACGCUGAAGGAGGAGCUUGCUUCUCUGGAUGAGUUGCGAACGGGUGAGUAACGCGUAGGUAACCUGCCUGGUAGCGGGGGAUAACUAUUGGAAACGAUAGCUAAUACCGCAUAACAGUAGAUAUCGCAUGAUAUCUACUUGAAAGGUGCAAUUGCACCACUACCAGAUGGACCUGCGUUGUAUUAGCUAGUUGGUGAGGUAACGGCUCACCAAGGCGACGAUACAUAGCCGACCUGAGAGGGUGAUCGGCCACACUGGGACUGAGACACGGCCCAGACUCCUACGGGAGGCAGCAGUAGGGAAUCUUCGGCAAUGGACGGAAGUCUGACCGAGCAACGCCGCGUGAGUGAAGAAGGUUUUCGGAUCGUAAAGCUCUGUUGUAAGAGAAGAACGAGUGUGAGAGUGGAAAGUUCACACUGUGACGGUAUCUUACCAGAAAGGGACGGCUAACUACGUG
rnacentral:rRNA from 1 species